rnacentral:lncRNA from 1 species
CACCCACCAUCAGGCAGGAGUUACUGAGGAAAUUUCUGUCUGAAGUUUCCAAACAGAGCAAAGAAAAGUCAGAGAGAACCAGCCCGAGACCGAUGCUGCAUUUGGAAGGUUGUGGUCGGCCAAGAGAAGGCAGUGGUCCACAGAGUCUCCAUCCCUCCAGAGGACCACAGAGCCAGGACACGCAACAGGUCAACUAGACAGAGGCUGCACAGGCCAUUUGCAGGGCAAAGUCAGUGCCCAGCACAGCAGAGAAAAUCUUUCUGGUGAGCUGCGCCUGAACAUGUGUGAAGUGGAGGUAACAGCCUGGCACAGCACAGCCACCAAGUUUUAAUGGUGUGGAUGCCAGUCCGCAGGUCCUGGGGAUAUUGACCUUUAAGCCUCACCAAAGAAGCAUUCAAAGAGUACAAACAGUGAGGCAGUUCCUUUAGAUGGACAAUAACAAGAUGGCAG